rnacentral:rRNA from 1 species
GACGAACGCUGGCGGCGUGCCUAAUACAUGCAAGUAGAACGCUGAAGGAAGGAGCUUGCUCUUUCCGGAUGAGUUGCGAACGGGUGAGUAACGCGUAGGUAACCUGCCUGGUAGCGGGGGAUAACUAUUGGAAACGAUAGCUAAUACCGCAUAACAGUAGAUAUCGCAUGAUAGCUGCUUAAAAGGUGCAAUUGCACCACUACCAGAUGGACCUGCGUUGUAUUAGCUAGUUGGUGAGGUAACGGCUCACCAAGGCAACGAUACAUAGCCGACCUGAGAGGGUGAUCGGCCACACUGGGACUGAGACACGGCCCAGACUCCUACGGGAGGCAGCAGUAGGGAAUCUUCGGCAAUGGACGGAAGUCUGACCGAGCAACGCCGCGUGAGUGAAGAAGGUUUUCGGAUCGUAAAGCUCUGUUGUAAGAGAAGAACGAGUGUGAGAGUGGAAAGUUCACACUGUGACG